rfam:Bombyx mori DNA, contig: Bm_scaf43_contig24180, strain: p50T/Dazao, build 2, whole genome shotgun sequence.
UUAACUCAAGUUUGUAUGGAGUUGGAAGAUUUGCUACGUUUGCCGCUAGGGCUGCUGUUCCAACUGCAUACAAACUUGAGUUA